AGAGGGAGAAAGCAAAAGGGGCGAGUUAAUUUUCACAAAUUGCUAUGCAGAGAUUGAAAUGCACAACUAUAAAAUGUCCUCUUAAGAGUUGCCUGGAAAUCUUACCAAGUUUAACAAGAUUUUUGGUGCACGGCAACUUUUUUCCUGGCUUCGUAUGCUGUCACAGCUUCAUUCUGCAACACUGCGUGCAUAGAACGUGGAUCUGUUAAAAAUUAUUAGCUACAAAACGAAACUGCUUUCACUAUCUUUAUCAUUUUAAUUUCAGAGAAGUCAAUAAGCUUACUUUUCCAAUAAGCUUAUCUAAUUAACCUGCGAGGUAUUACCUGCUAUAUCAGGACUAGUUUUGGGACCCACCACUGUUUACUGGUAUUCUAAUCUGAGCUUCCAGUUUUCCUGAAAAUUCUCUUUCCCCAAUUAUCUCUGGACAUUUUAACUUCAGCUGGUGAUGCUGAGAUCCCAUCCUGGAUCAUCAUACUUUUUUGGCAGAUAUUCACCACUAUAUUGAUCAAGGAGCUGCUGAAGGGACACUGACUCCUGGAUAGCUUCCUCCAAGUGGGGGCUUUUUCUUUCUAUCAUGCAGAGAAGUCAGCUGCCAUGUCUUGAGGACACUCAGACAACCUAACUAUGGAAAGACUUAUGUUGUGAGGAACUGAGGUUUCCAGCUAACAGUCAAAGAAGAACUGAAGCCUGCCAAAUAACCUUUUCAAUGAUCUUUGCUAAUCCUAUAGGUGGAAAAUGGUGUCUUAUUGAAGGUUUAAUUUGCACUUUCCUAUUAUUAGUCAUAUUAGGCAUAAUUAAUAUGUUUAAAGGCAUUUGUAAGAGAGCAAGAAAUAAAAACACGAACACCAUAUUCAGUGGUGUGAGGAAACAUCUUUAAUCCCAAGGCAUCAAAUAUGAAAGUUAAAAGUGGAUGGAGAUGCUCUAGCUGGUUUUGCUCAGUGGAUAGAACGUUGGCCUGUGGGUCGAAGGGUCCUGGGUUCGAUUCUGGUCAAGGGCAUAUACCUCGGUUGCAGGCUCCUCCCUGGCCUGGGCCCCG